rnacentral:rRNA from 1 species
AGUAACGCGUGAGGAACCUGCCUCAAAGAGGGGGACAACAGUUGGAAACGACUGCUAAUACCGCAUAAGCCCACAGCUCGGCAUCGAGCAGAGGGAAAAGGAGCAAUCCGCUUUGAGAUGGCCUCGCGUCCGAUUAGCUAGUUGGUGAGGUAGCGGCCCACCAAGGCGACGAUCGGUAGCCGGACUGAGAGGUUGAACGGCCACAUUGGGACUGAGACACGGCCCAG